UGGGACUCAGGGUUCAGAACGAAGGAUGGAAGAAGAAUUGGGGGAAAGCCAGGUGUCUGCUGAGCCUCCCAAGUGCCUGGAACUGGCAGGUGGAAGAAAUGCAGCUGAGUUUGCCUUUUUAUAAAGGCUUACCUGAAAGCUCCAUCCAGUGAGGCACAUAGCCAUCCCGACUGCAAGGGAGUCUGGGAAGGUGAGUGUUUUAAGUGUCCUGUCACUAAAGUAGGACACAGCAGGGGGCUUUUGAAUUAUUGGUCCAUAAUGUUUGCCACAUCACUAUGCUACACCACUUUAAAAAUGAAAGAAAGGGGCUGGCCU
rnacentral:lncRNA from 1 species